UACGGAGGAUGCAAGCGUUAUCCGGAAUCAUUGGGUUUAAAGGGUGCGUAGGCGGACUAGUAAGUCAGCGGUGAAAGCCUGCAGCUUAACUGUAGAAUUGCCUUUGAUACUGUUGUGCUUGAAUUAGGAUGAGGUCGGCGGAAUGUGGCAUGUAGCGGUGAAAUGCAUAGAUAUGCCAUAGAACACCAAUUGCGAAGGCAGCCGGCUAGGCCUGGAUUGACGCUGAGGCACGAAAGCGUGGGGAGCGAACAGG
rnacentral:rRNA from 1 species